UCACAGGUACGUGCAAAGUAGUCUAGCCUACUAUUUUUGUGUUUGUUUUAAAAGCAACAGCUAUCAAACAACGGCACACAGUGCAUCAAAAUCUUUGUCACGUGACACUCAAAUGAAAUUAACGCUACAGCUUGCCCUUUUGCUAAUUUGAAUAUUUGAAAAGAUGGAUUUUAGCUAUCUACAGACAGUAGCUAUCGUGUCUUCCAAGCUAGCUGCUGCUUGCACGGUAAUUAAACCAUUUGAAAAGAUGACUUUGGUAGCUGGCGUCUUCAAAGUUACCUGCAGCCUGCCCUUUGAUCAUUUGGAGUUAGUAAAGAUAAAUGACGAAUUCAGACGGAUCUCUACAUUCAUUCAUUGCACAACUGGACCAGUUGCCAUUGCUUUAAAAAUAAACAAUGCUUUCAGAAAA